AUUGAACGCUGGCGGCAUGCCUUACACAUGCAAGUCGAACGGUAACAGGUCUUCGGAUGCUGACGAGUGGCGAACGGGUGAGUAAUUCAUCGGAACGUGCCUAGUAGUGGGGGAUAACUACUCGAAAGAGUGGCUAAUACCGCAUGAGACCUACGGAUGAAAGCAGGGGAUCGCAAGACCUUGUGCUACUAGAGCGGCCGAUGGCAGAUUAGGUAGUUGGUGGGAUAAAAGCUUACCAAGCCGACGAUCUGUAGCUGGUCUGAGAGGACGAUCAGCCACACUGGGACUGAGACACGGCCCAGACUCCUACGGGAGGCAGCAGUGGGGAAUUUUGGACAAUGGGCGCAAGCCUGAUCCAGCAAUGCCGCGUGCAGGAUGAAGGCCUUCGGGUUGUAAACUGCUUUUGUACGGAACGAAAAGCCCUGGGUUAAUACCCUGGGGUCAUGACGGUACCGUAAGAAUAAGCACCGGCUAACUACGUGCCAGCCGCCGCGGUAAGAC
rnacentral:rRNA from 1 species